rnacentral:rRNA from 1 species
AGAGCGCAGGGAGGAUGCCUUGGCAUCAGGAGCCGAAGAAGGACGUGGUAAGCUGCGAAAAGCUACGGGGAUUGGCAAGCACGAUAUGAUCCGUAGAUGUCCGAAUGGAGCAAUCCACAUGGAGUCAAGUCCAUGUAUCAUAUACUGAAUAAAUAGGUAUAUGAGGGGAACCGCCCGAACUGAAACAUCUAAGUAGGGCGAGGAAAAGAAAUCAACCGAGAUUCUGUGAGUAGUGGCGAGCGAAAGCGGAAGAGGCUAAACCGAGAGGAGCAAUCCUUUCGGGGUUUAGGACUGCAUUUAGUACAAUGAUUGUUAACCGAACAGCAUGGGAAGGCUGAUCAGAGAAGGUGAGAAUCCUGUAGGUGAAAACGAAAGUUGACGAGCAGUAUCCGAAGUACCGCGGGGCACGUGAAAUCCCGUGGGAAGAUGGGGGGACCAUCCUCCAAGCCUAAAUACUACCUGAUGACCGAUAGCGAAAAGUACUGUGAAGGAAAGGUGAAAAGCACCCCGGGAGGGGAGUGAAAGAGAACCUGAAACCCUGUGCCUACAAGCACCUAGAGCACGUCAAUGUGUGAUAGGGUACUUUUUGUAGAACGGUCCGGCGAGCGAUUGUAUGCAGCAAGGUUAAGGACUUAAGGUCUGGAGCCGAAGCGAAAGCGAGUUUGAAAAGGGCGUUAAGUUGCAUAUAAUGGGCCCGAAACCGGGUGACCUACCCAUGGUCAGGUUGAAGUGGAAGUAAAAUUCCAUGGAGGACCGAACCGACCUCCGUUGAAAAGGCGGCGGAUGAACUGUGGGUAGCGGAGAAAUUCCAAUCGAACCCGGAGAUAGCUGGUUCUCCCCGAAAUAGUUUUAGGACUAGCCUCAAGUUAGAUACCUGGAGGUAAAGCACUGAAUAGCCUAGCGGCCGAGAGGUUAGCGAAGCUUAUCAAACUCAGAAUGCCAGAGUAUUGAUGCUUGGGAGUCAGACAGUGUCAGAUAAAUGUCAUUGUCAAAAGGGAAACAGCCCAGAUCUACAGCUAAGGUCCCAAAGUCAGGUUAAGUGGAAAACGAUGUGAAGAUACGCAGACAACCAGGAUGUUGGCUCAGAAGCAGCCACUCAUUCAAAGAGUGCGUAAUAGCUCACUGGUCGAGCGUCUUUGCGCGGAGAAUUUAACGGGGCUAAACCUGACACCGAAGCUUAGGCAAUACAGCAAUGUAUUGGGUAGGGGAGCGUUGUAUACGCGGUGAAACAGUAGCGCAAGCGGCUGUGGAGUGUAUAGAAGUGAGAAUGCCGGAAUGAGUAGCGCGAAUGCAGUGAGAAUCUGCAUGGCCGAAAGCCUCAGGUUUCUGGAGGAAGGUUCGUCCGCUCCAGGUUAGUCGGGAGCUAAGGUGAGGCCUAACGGCGUAGCCGAUGCACAGACGGUAGAGAUUCCGUCACCACCAAAAGAGUUAAGCACAGGGACACAUUUGAAGUCUCAGAGCCGGGUGUUGGUUCCGGUAGAGAUCGAGGGAAGUUAGUACCGAAGUCUGAGAUGGAAGAUGGCGAGAAAAGCUGUGUGUAUUUCUGAGGUGCCCGUACCGCAAACCGACACAGGUAGGUAGGAAGAAGAUUCUAAGGCCAACGGGAGAAGGGUUGUUAAGGAACUCGGCAAAUUGACCCCGUAACUUCGGGAGAAGGGGUGCUCCAGAGAUGGAGCCGCAGAGAAUCGGCCCAAGCAACUGUUUACCAAAAACACAGGUUUGUGCUAAAUCGAAAGAUGACGUAUACGAGCUGACGCCUGCCCGGUGCUGGAAGGUUAAAAGGAGAUGUGCAAGCAUUGAAUUGAAGCCCCAGUGAACGGCGGCCGUAACUAUAACGGUCCUAAGGUAGCGAAAUUCCUUGUCAGGUAAGUUCUGACCCGCACGAAAGGCGUAAUGAUCUGGGUACUGUCUCAACCAUAGACUCGGUGAAAUCUUAAUACCUGUGAAAAUGCAGGUUACCCGCGACUGGACGGAAAGACCCCGUGGAGCUUUACUGUAGCUUGAUAUUGGAAUUCGGUAAACUAUGUAGAGCAUAGGUGGGAGACUAUGAGAUUAAGGCGCCAGCCUUAAAGGAGUCACCAUUGGAAUACCACCCUUAGUUUAUUGGAUUUCUAACCUAGGACCAUAAUCUGGUUCAGGGACAGUGUCUGGUGGGCAGUUUGACUGGGGCGGUCGCCUCCUAAAGAGUAACGGAGGCGUUCAAAGGUUCCCUCAGAAUGGUUGGAAAUCAUUCAAAGAGCAUAAAGGUAUAAAGGGAGCUUGACUGCAAGACCUACAAGUCAAGCAGGUGCGAAAGCAGGACUUAGUGAUCAGGCGAUUCAGAAUGGAAUGGUCGUCGCUUAACGGAUAAAAGUUACCCCGGGGAUAACAGGCUGAUACCACCCAAUAGUUCACAUAGACGGUGGUGUUUGGCACCUCGAUGUCGGCUCGUCAUAUCCUGGAGGUGGAGUCGCUUCCAAGGGUUGGGCUGUUCGCCCAUUAAAAUGGCACGCGAGCUGGGUUCAGAACGUCGUGAGACAGUUCGGUCCCUAUCCGUCGUGGGCGCAGGAAAAUUGAGGAGAGCUAUCCUUAGUACGAGAGGACCGGGAUGGACCUACCUCUGGUGUAUCUGUUGUCACGCCAGUGGCAGUGCAGAGUAGCUAUGUAGGGAAGGGAUAAACGCUGAAAGCAUCUAAGCGUGAAGCCCUCUCCAAGAUGAGUUUUCCCAUUGU